UCCUUCAACAUUGUGGAAACUUUGUUCUUUUGCUCUUUGCAAUGAAUCUUGCUACUGUUUACUCUUUGGGUCCAUACUGCUUUUAUGAGCUGUAACACUCGCCGCGAAAAUCUGUAGGUUCGCUUCUGAACCCAGUGUAGACCACGAGCCCACCGGGAGGAAAGAACAACUCCAGACGCGCUGCCUUAAGAGCUGUAACACUCACCGCCAAGGUCUGCAGUUUCACUCCUGAGCCAGCGAGACCACGAAUCCACCAGAAGAAAGGAACUCUGAACACAUCUGAACAUCAGAAGGGACAGACUCCAGACGCGCCACCUUAAGAGAUGUAACGCUCACCGCGAGGGUCCGCGGCUACAUUCCUGAAGUCAGUGAGAUCAAGAACCCACCGAUUCCGGACACAAAACAGUUUCGUGUAGCCUGGAGCCCAGGCAAGCAGUGAAAGCCAUCUAGAGAUGGAGGAGCAAAGCGAAUACACAGAGGUGGAGGCUGAACGCUGAGAAAAAGAGUGCUGGGGUCUUUGCAGUUUGGGUUGUAGCCACUUCCUGAAGCUCGGGGUCCUGAGGCAGCCCACAUACGAAACCUCUCUGUGUGCUUUCCUCACUCCAGCCUGAGCUUGCGUCUGUCUUUUUCAACCCAAGAAAAGGGUGAAUCCAAUGCAGGCUGAUUUCUGGCAUACAUCACAGUCCAGUCUGAUUUUCUGCAGAUUACUUUCUACAAGAUGAUUUGGGCACCUCAGUUUACCACCUCCCAGCGGACCGACGGGUGCGGGAGGAGAAUCACAAAUAUUGUGGCUAGUACAGAACAACUUCCACCAAGCCAGUUGUGACUGUUGUGGAUGGAGAUGGACACCUGGUGAAUGAUUUAAUCCACCAACAAUCGUGGCACACAGGCAUCGCCUUCCCCACGCCAGGACUCAGAGGCUGAGCCCACAGCUCCGGGGUGAGGAAUGGAGCUCCCCGAGCGUGGCUUAUCUUUCAAGGGAGCUCACACUCUUUUACAACAACACUCGAGGUGAGGGCUCCUUCAGACUCUCCCAACUCCACCCGUGGCCACAGCCUCCGGGGCAGGGCUCCUGUUCCUACCCACCCCUCAAGCUCCUUCUCAUCCACAUGCCCAGGCUAACGUUAGCCACACUGGCAGCGGGGGAACUGACUCUGAGCAGCAGGCGCUGGUCCCUGCUCCAAGCCCUGCUUUCUGAGUGAACUCUUGUACCAGCUGGAAUUGUCCCCGGGUGCUUCCUCCAUCAGACCACGGUCAAGUGCAGGUCCAGUGUUUUGGGUCAGAUGUCAGUGGGCAGGCUCAGCAUUCAUCCAAAGAAAUAGCAACUUUGUAAUUUGUUACUUGUAGGGGUAAUUAGCUAUCUGCAUAAAUUAACUGAUUCCUCCUCAUAGUAUGUCCCCUACAGACAGUGAGGGUUCAAUUUGCUGUUGGUGAAUUUGCUAAUGUGACUUAUUGAUUAAUCUUUUUAAAGUGGGGUGGUUCCCAACACUUGAGGCCAGCUGAGCCCAUGGAGAGGGUGGAAACUGACCCACAAAGUCGCCAGCUGCUGGGGAACACGGGUCAGCCCAGUGAGGCAACUCUCUGGCCACAUUGCCCACCGCCUGCCCUUCACUCCCACCAAGCAUGGCUCCCUCAGAGUCCCAUGGCUGCUCUGCUGCCCAAGGAAACUCUUCCUCUGGGCGUUCUCAAAGGCCUGAAUGGAUGAGUGCCAUGUCCAGUGCUAUGAGUCUCCUGAUGGUGGAUGGACACUGUGUCCCAUGUCCAGUGGUGGGGACUGUGCCAUGCCCUGUGUCCAGUGAUGCUGGAUGGGCUAUGCCCAGUGUCCAGUGAUUAUGGACAGGCACCGUGCCAAGUGUGCUAUGAUCGAUGGGUGCCAUGUCCAAUGUCUAAUGAUGAUGGGCAGGUAUGUUCAGGGUCAACUGAUGGUGGAUGGGUGCCAUGCCCAGUGUCUAAUGAUGAUUCAGUUGAUGGUGGAUGGGUGCCAUGCCCAGUGUCUAACGAUGAUUCAGUUGAUGGUAGAUGGGCGCCAUGUCCAGUAUCUAAUGAUGAUGGACAGGUAUGUUCAGGGUCAGUUGAUAGUGGAUGGGCGCCAUGUCCAGUGUCCAGUAAUGGUGUACCAUGCUCAGUGUCUGAUGAGAGUGUACAAGUGCCUUGCCCAGUGUCCAGUGAUGGUGGACAGGCACCAUGCCCAUUGUUCAGUAAUUAUGGUCAUUGGACAUGCCAAGUGUCCAGUGAUGGUGGACCAUGCCCAGUGUCUGAUGAGGGUGUAUGGGUGCCAUGCCCAAUAAUGGUGGACGGGCAUCAUAGCUAUUGUUCAGUGAUUAUGAACAGGUGCUAUGCCAAGUGUCCAGUGAUAGUGGAUGGUGCAGUGCCCAGGGUCCAAUGAUGGUGGACGGGCACCAUGCUCAGUGUCCAUUGUGGUGGAUGGGUACAAUGCCCACUGUCUAAUGAGGGUGUAUGGGCACCAUGCCCAGUGUCCAGCGCAUUGUCCAGUGAUAAUGGAUGGGCCCCAUGCCCAGUGUCCAGUGAUUAUGGACAGGCACCAUGCCCAGUGUUCAGUGAUGGUAGAUGGGCCCCAUGCCCUGUGUCCAAUGAUUAUGGACAGGCACCAUGCCCAGUGUUCAGUGAUGGUAGAUGGGCAGGCACCAUGCCCAGUGUCCAAUGAUUAUGGACAGGCACCAUGCCCAGUGUUCAGUGAUGGUAGACGGGCACCAUGCCCUGUGUCCAAUGAUUAUGGACAGGCACCAUGCCCAGUGUCUAAUGAUGGGGAAUAAUAGAGUUUGGAUGUUGUCCCCACCCAAAUCUCAUGUUGAAUUGUAAUCCCCAAUACCAGAGGUGUGGCCUGGUGGGAGGGGAUUGGAUCAUGGCAGUGGAUCCCUCAUGGCUUGGUGUUGUCUUCGAGACAGUGAGUGAGUUCUUGCAAAAUCUGGUCAUUUAAAAAUAUGUGGCACCUGCCCUUCACCUCUCUUACUUCUGCUUUUACCAUGUGAUGUGCCUGGUUCCCAUUUGCCUCAGGAAGCUUCCUGAGGCCUCCCCAGAAGCAGAAGCUACAAUGCUUCCUGUAGAGCCUGUGGAACUCUGGGCCAAUUAAAACUCUUUUCUUAUAAAUUACACAGUCUCAGGUACUUUUUUUUUUUUUUUUUUUUUGAGACAGAAUCUCACACUGUUGCCCAGGCUGGAGUGCGGUGGCACGAUCUCGGCUCACUGCAACCUCCACCUCCUGGGUUCAAGUGAUUCUCAUGCCUCAGCCUCCCGAGUAGCUGGGACUACAGGUGCAUGCCACCAUGCCCAGCUAAUUUUUUUAUUUUUAAUAGAGACGUGGUUUCACAGUGUUGGCCAGGAUGGUCUCCAUCUCUUGACCUUGUGAUCCACCCACCUCGGCCUCCCAAAGUGCUGGGAUUACAGGUGUGAGCCACUGGUGCCCGGCCUCAGGUACUUAUUAAUAGCAACGCAAGAAAGGUCUAACACAGUGGACAAGUACCAUGCCCAGUGUCUGCUGAGGUUGUAUGGGCACCCUACCCAAUGUCCUCUGAUGGUGGGGCAUUUGUCCAUGGGUCUGUGAAGAGCCAGGAAUACCUCAGCCGUAUUGGGGACAAGCUCGCCAGCCUGUGGAGUCCCCUCAUCCUUCUUUCUGUACCAUGACUGCUCCUCCAAUCAGAGAAUACUUUUCUCCUCACCACAUUCCACCUGUUACCAUAGGUGUUUGUCUUUUUGGCCUCCCUGAUAAAUUUCAGGCUCCUCAUGGACUGGGCCCACAGAAGCCCCUAGACUCUGGAUCUCCUAGCACUGGUCCUUAGCAGUGUUAAUGGAUGGAUGGUUGCCGGGGUACAUGAAUGGUUCAACUUUUCUUCAUAUAUUUAUCAUAAGUUAGAGGGAGGAUUCCAUUCACACCUCCCAAAGAGUCCAAACUGCUCACCACUUAGACCUGGAAGCCUUUACAGGAGACAAAAACUCCUGGUGAGGAAGGUAGAGCUUCUAGGGAAAGAAAGAAAAAAGAUUAGCAACUUUGUAUGGGACCUUGUGUUCAGCCAUUCUUGCACUGCUAUAAAGAAAUACCUGAGACUGGGUAAUUAAUAAGAAAAGAGGUUUAAUUGGCUCGUGGUUGUGCAGGCUGUAUAGGAGGCAUGGUACCGGCAUCUGCUCAACUUCUGGGGAGGCCUCAGGGAGUUGUUACUCAUGGUGGAAGGUAAAGCGGAAGCAGGCAUGUCUCAUGGCGAGAUUGGGAACAAGAGACAGAGAGCAGGAGGUGCCACACACUUUAAAACAACCAGAUCUCAUUCAUGACCAAGGGGAUGGUGCUAAGCCAUUCAUGAGGGAUCUGCCCCCGUGAUCCAAUCACUUCCCAUGAGGCCCCACCUCCAACACUCAGGACCACAUUUCCACAUGAGAUUUGGGUGGGGACACACAUUCAAACUCGAUCAGACCUUUGCCUUCGCGAUUUCACCAGGUCUUGCUGUGAGCACACCCACAGGGCCAUCUGCUGUCUGCCAUCAGUGUCUAUUUGAUGGCAGUGCCUCAUUUGGGCUGCCUGGUGCCAUGAUGUUUCAGUUGUCCCCUUUUGAUGGCCAUGCCUGAGAAGCCACAGGAGUAGUUGCUCAGUGUCAGGACUCAGGCUUCUGGUCCAAAACCCAGACCCACUUCUUAAGGCAGUGUGACCUUGGGCAGGUCACUUAAGCUCUUUCCUGUCUCUGAAAUGACUGGAAUAAUGGAAAGCUCUUCCUACAGUCAUUACAGGGACUAAGCGAGUUACUGCAGGAAAGCCUUAGAGCAUUGCUGCACAUCACAGCGCCCAGUAAAUAGUAGCCAUUGAUGCCUCCAUUUCCCAGAGGAGGAAACUGAGGCUCUGAGAGGUUCAGAGAUUUGCCCAAGGCUGCAGAGCUAGUGCACGGCAGAGAGAGGACUUAGAGCUAACUCUGUCUUCACCUAUUUAUUGAUCACAGGCUUGGUUAGACCCCAAGGUCUCCCACACACUCCCCAGUGGACAUCUCCACUGAUGUGGCUCGGACGCCACCAGCCCCAGCCCUGGUGUGUAUCGAGCCAGCGGCGGUGGUGGGGCCAGUGGCAGCAGGGUAGGGCAGUUGCUUUCACUGGAGUCUUUAGCACACAAGGCGAUGGGUCCAGCUGGGUCUUCUGAUGCUUAGACAUGGAGUUGGGCUGAAUUGCCUGGACCUCACAUCAUUUAAGGAUGAAUACAUUGUUCUGGGAUGUUCUCAUAAGAUCACAGAGACACAGAACAGAGACAGAGGUUUUCUCUUUCUAUUUUUCUGUUUCUUCACCUUGAUGACAUCACUUAUUGUAGUGUGUUUGAAUAGUGUCCCUGCCAAAUCCAUCUCUACCCAGAGCCUCAGAAUCUACACUUAUUUGAAAAUAGGGUUUUUUGGCCGGGUGUGGUGGCUCAUGCCUGUAAUCCCAGGCACUUUGGGAGGCCGAGGUGAGCAGAUCACCUGAGGUCAGGAGUUCAAGACCAACGUGGCCAACAUGGUGAAACCCCAUCUCUACUAAAAAUACAAAAAUUAGCUGGGCAUGAUGGCAGGUGCUACUUGGCAGCUACUUGGCAGCUACUUGGGAGGCUGAGGCAAGAGAAUCGCUUGAACCUGGGAAGCGAAGGUUGCAGUGAGCCAAGAUCAUGCCAUUGCACUCCAGCCUGGGCGGCAGAGUAAGACUUCAUCUAAAAAAAAAAAGAAAAGAAAAUGGGGUUUUUGUAGAUGUCGUGAGUGAAGAUGAGGUCUUCCUGGAGUAGGGUGGGCCUAAAUCAAAUGACUGGUGUCUCCAUAAGCAGAGGAGAGGACACGCAGAGGGACACCGGGGAAGAGGGUGGCGAGACAGUGGAAGCAGAGGCUGCAGCGAGGCAUGGACGUCUACAAGCCGAGGCACAGCCGGGAUGGCCGGCCACCGGGAGCUGAAGGGACAAGGAAGGAGCCCCCGGAGGAAGUGCUGCUGGCCCACACCUUGAUCUCGGACUUCCAGCCUCCAGAGCUGGGAAAGAAGAAAUUCCAUUGUGCAAACACCUGGUCUAUGGUGCUUCGUCCCCGCAGAUGCGGCAAGCGGGUCCAGCCAAGAAUAAAUGCGAGGUGGGCAGCAGUGGAAUCACUUCUCACUGAGGUGGGAUGAGGCCAGAGGGAAACGAGGAGGUGGGCUCAGAAGCCCAGUUCCCCAGUGGGGUCUUCUUUUUCCCUUCCUGGGGGUGGCUCCUGCGUGGCUCCUUUUGCUGCCUGUCUGCCCAUCCUGACUUGAUCUUAUUUGCCCUGGCGGAGCUGCCUUCCCCCUCGUGUCACCUCUGCCCUUUCCGGGAGGGGCCCUUGUUCUCCGCCCCCAGCAACACUCCCACCCCGUGAGCCUCAGGCUUUGCUGCCGGUCUCUGCUGUCCCAAAUGCGCGGCUCACUCCUGUCCUGUGUGGGCUGUCACCUGGCGGGGGAGUGGGUGGAUACAGAGGUGGUUAGGCUUCAGAAUGGUUUCCCUCUCCUCUGUGACUGGCAGCUCUGUCAUUCGUCAAACCCUGAGAUGCCAGACAGUUUCCUAUCUCUCAAACAAAGGUUAAGCAAAUCAAGUUUUCAGAGUAAAGCUGAUCCAUUGACAGGACAAAUUGCUUAAGGAGAAUUCAUCUCACUGUCGGCAAAAUCCAUCAAUCUAGGGUUAGUCAUUGAGUAUCUCCUGC